CCAACUUUCCCUUCUGGGGACUGGAGUAUACUAUAAGCCACCAUCAUGUUUCUCAUGGCGCGCAUUAAAUCCUUGGAGUCAUCGGAUCCUUCAACCCAGCACCUCCAAUACCAUCAAUUCCUCUCCAUCACCUUCCAAGAAAGCUACGGCAGCAUCAGAAGCAUAAGAAUAUCAUGAGCUACCAGGAAGCAAGACUCCUAUCCCCCACCAGGCAAAAGUCCCAAUCCCCUCUCCCUCCUCCUCACAUGAGCUCUAAUGCUUCACUGCACUAUGCUUUUGUCCUCAUGGGGUACGCAAAUGCAUACCCUCCACCACCACAGGUUGAGUAUGGUUGCCCUUACUCAACUCCUCCAUCCCCUAAGGCGUGCCCAUCGUCACCACCUCCAAGCUAUCAGGGCUACUUCAGUGAUGAGUACCCUCCACCACCUCCUUCUCGGCCAAAAUGCCACAGCCAUGAUGAUGGAUGCUGCCUCUCAUUCCUAAAAGGAUGUCUGGCUGCUCUUUGCUGUUGUUGCAUGCUGGAAGAGUGCUGCUUCUAAGACCAUUUUGCUGAUAGUUUUGUUUAUCUGCUGUGAGAUUAUAUCCAUAAUCCUGCUUGCUAGUGUACAUUGUUCUUGUAAUUUGCUGUUUAUUAGGAGUCCCAGGGAAUGAUGGUGAUUAUGGCAAUAUUUUAUGAUAUGGCUUGGUGUAAGUUUCUGUACCAAUGAACUUUAAUUUGAAUGGUAGAACAUCUUGUUACUUAAGGCAUGGGGCAGGGGUUCGAUUCCAAGUGGUGUCAACCGUCGAUUCAAUCUCUGUUGCUUAGUACCUGGUUCUGCAAUUGCUAGGGUUUGUCUGCCUGAGAACCUUGCUCAGGCCAUAUGAACUGUUGGAGGAGGGGGAGAGGAGGGGAUAAGAUAGGUGGUGGAUUCAGAACCCCUCCCUAGUCUCUACACACCACCUUAAUUAAAAAAAUAAUACUAAACUUUUUUCUCCCUUUUUUUUGGAUAGAAAGAUUAUGUGAUCUAUAUGACAAAAAUAAAAUGGAAGUAUCAACAAGCAAUUUUUCUAAUAUAAAUUGCCUACUGAGCUAAGGAAUGAACCACCCAAUUACCAUCAGUGUAAUAAGAUUUUUUUUUUUUCUGAAUGGAAAGUGGAGGAAGUGAGAAACUUCCCCUAAUUUAUUAUAAAAGCAUCAAAAAAAUUACAAUGAUGUGUUACAAGAGAAUAUGGGAAAAAGAAAUAUAGAGUGAGUAACUAGAGAAGGAAAGACAAUCUGAUAGAAAGAGCCCUGUGAUUGUGAGCUGACUCAGAACAUAAGUUAUGCCACAUUGAUAGCUAAUAAGAUUGCAAAAAGGGUUUUGAUAGUUAAUAAGAUUAGCCAUAGAGACCACUCAUUUAGCAAAACUAGGCUGCAACCUAAUGCUUGCACUCCUUUGGUUGGCUGGAGGGAGUUCAGUUUUCAAACCUGAGGAGGCGUUUCUUCAAAUAUUUUACAGGUAUAAUUUUUUCACCAUUUCUAUGAAAAAAAAUUGAUGGUAAAUGCACUUUUAGUGUAUGGUACAUGAUCCCCUCAAACUCAAGCAUAUUGGCUGAGGUUAUACAUAUCAUAUAGCCUUUCUCAUGGUGGGGAUAUGAGCCCAAAUCUAUCCCAUCUGCAACACCCACUAGGUGCUCCACUGAGACAAUAAAAGAUAUCACAUAUGGAGACAACAAAAAUAAUAGGAAACCUUGAAUGCUUUUUCUCUGCGUCGCAGGGUUUAGCCCAGCCACUGAGCUAUCAAAUGACCAUCAGAGUUGAGGAUACUAUGCUAUAUAUAUUACAAAUGUUGGGGAUCAUGAGAUCUCUGAGAUUUAUCAUGACACACUUCAUCUUUCUCAUUUUGGUUAUAGAGUUCUACAUAAUUAUGAUGUUUAAAGGUUACUCUCUGAUUAAUUGAUGAGGAACAAAACCCUGCUAACCAACUUUAUGGUGCAUGACAGAUAUCUGGCAUGCCAUCCUUGUAUAGCUAGAUGGGACAUAUUUGGCUUGUCAUAGGAGGCAAGCCAAGAAAAUUUGUUUAUCAUGCACAAUUUGGUGCAGUCGAUCAUGAAAAAUUACGAGAUACAUGGUUGAUUAUAAUCUUGUCGAGCCUCAUGUCGGAGAAACUUUGUGUACAUAUAACAGGGAGCCCCAAAACAUAUACCUUUAAAGUUUUAUAAGACUCAAAUUUCCACUAAUAUCGAUCCUCUGAUGACCAUUAAGGUUGAUAUGGAAUGUGCUUACGACAUAGUCCGGUGGUGUUUCUUCAUGAUGUCCUUCUACACUUCGGCUUCAAUCUAGGGUUUGUUUCAUGGAUGGAAGGAUGUAUCAAGUUUCCUAAUUUGUCUAUGGUGGUCCAUGGUACCCAUGCACUGGUUUUAUGCUAACAUGGUUCCAUCAUGGCUGCCUCAUGUCACCUCUUCUAUUUAUCCUAAUGGCUGAGAUGUUCUCUCGAGAAUUUAUCAAUUCUGCUAAGGCUUGGAGAUAUUAUCAAAGCUUAUCAACUUUAUGAUAUAGGCCCUAAGGUGUCCCAUCUUUUUAUUUUCGCCAUGAUUGCUUGCUUGUAGCCCGAGCCACAAGCAACCUAGAAUGUAAUUUGUUCUUCUUAUGAUCAGCAGUCAGUGGAUUUAACAUCCAUGUUAUGCGAGCAAAGCUGCUGUACACUGUACAGGUAUGCCAACACCAUCAGAUACUUAAGAUCAACUUCGAUGGAGCUGUACACCCACACCUUGCAGGAAUUGGAUACCUGAUAAAGAGAUCAUGAGGGAUGAGCAUUCCUCAAGCCGAGUUGCCUGCAGCUUCAAUGAACGCCACAGGCUUCUUAAAACUGUUGAUACCAAGUGCAAAAGAAGGAUCCUUUACAGUGAUGAAAUCUUGCCUGUCUCUGAAAGUAUCAAUUCCAAAUUUGUGAAGCUUGGAACCUGAAUUCAGAUAGCAGCUGGGAUGGCGAUUCAUCGGAUAGUUUUCAGAGUGUCAAACAUUUUCAUGAUCGUACAAAGAAAAAGAAAUAACCAGAAGAUGAUAAUAUGCUUAUGAUUUAUCCAACUUAUAUACAUUAAUUAUCUAAAUAAAAGAGCUCAUGAUAUCUUUCAUGCAAAACAGUGGUAAACAGCAUUUAAUUCGCAUGCAUUUAAAAGGUUUACAAGAUAAGAUUGUGCCCCAAAGCAAAUCUAGCAAGUCCCUAAAACCUAAGCCUAGCUCCAGCACAGGCACAUAUUAUUGACUAAGCCUUCAAAGGGUCAGGUAACAGAUUUGGAUACAUGUUUCCAAAGAGCACAGGGAAGAAUUCGGCACUCUCCGCUGAGGAAAGCGAAGGGGUGGGGUGAUCAAGAUAGAAAAGCUGCUCGUUCUUUGGGAACAAACAGGGAGCACAAAAGAAAAAGCCAAGUGGCCUGUGACCAAACACACACAAAAAAAACAAGGACAUGGAAGGAAUGAUGAGUUUAAAAAAAAAAAAUGCUGCAACUGAGGGCACAUAUGUGGCUUUGGACUAUGAAAAAGACAAUACUCUCUGACAAGCUUAUCCCCUGCAUCAACUCCAAUCACCCUUCUCCAGCCCCCUCCCUCUACAUACUGGUAAUGAGUGCUAAAAUAAAGUUAGAUAAGAAGAUAUGAACAUAGGAAUUCAUACAUGUAAGGCUGCAAAUUUUCAAUGCAAUGGUGAGAGUGCCAGCAAUUCAGCUAUAUAGUGGCAAAAGAAUGAUACGGAAAGUGCCUACCCUUUGUGAUCUAAUGAGUGGGGCCAACAGUUUGAGAAUUAUGAUCAAAGGGAUUCACAAAACCAAGCUGAAGUGAACCAAUUUGGUAGAAAGGUAGUAGAAUUGCCAUCAAAUCUAUAAAAGACAUGGCACAGUACAGUGUUCUUCAAUGACUUGCAUACAUACAUUACGAAAAUCAUUUCUUUUUUUUUUUUCUCUCUCUCUCUCUUUUGCAGAUCACUUUCAGAGUGCUAACAAGCACCUGCUACUAAGAUCUAUCAAAUGACAGACAACUGCGCACAAAUAUUAGGUGUUUCCUUCCCUUUCUUGGAUUCCCUUCAUAUAGUUUCAUAGACUUACCUUUCAUAUAGUUUUGUAGACUUACGAAAGAUAAAAAACAAUCAAUGGAAAAGAAAAAAUAUAUAUAUGCUUAGUUAAAAAUGCCAAAGUGAUUCAUAAAGAGCUACCAUAACAAAUGACACGUCUC